rnacentral:rRNA from 1 species
UGAACGCUGGCGGCAUGCCUAACACAUGCAAGUCGAACGGUAACGCGAAGAGCUUGCUCUUUGGCGACGAGUGGCGGACGGGUGAGUAAUACUUAGGAAUCUGCCCAGUAGUGGGGGACAACUCGGGGAAACUCGAGCUAAUACCGCAUACGCCCUACGGGGGAAAGCGGGGGAUCUUCGGACCUCGCGCUAUUGGAUGAGCCUAAGUCGGAUUAGCUUGUUGGUAGAGUAAAAGCCUACCAAGGCGACGAUCCGUAGCUGGUCUGAGAGGACGAUCAGCCACACUGGGACUGAGACACGGCCCAGACUCCUACGGGAGGCAGCAGUGGGGAAUAUUGGACAAUGGGCGCAAGCCUGAUCCAGCAAUGCCGCGUGUGUGAAGGAGGCCUGCGGGUUGUAAAGCACUUUCAGUAGAGAAGAAAAGCCUAGGGUUAAUACCCCUGAGUCUUGACGUAACCUACAGAAGAAGCACCGGCUAACUCCGUGCCAGCAGCCGCGGUAAU